rnacentral:rRNA from 1 species
CAGUAGCCGCGGGAAUACGUAGGUCCCGAGCGUUGUCCGGAUUUAUUGGGCGUAAAGCGAGCGCAGGCGGUUAGAUAAGUCUGAAGUUAAAGGCUGUGGCUUAACCAUAGUACGCUUUGGAAACUGUUUAACUUGAGUGCAAGAGGGGAGAGUGGAAUUCCAUGUGUAGCGGUGAAAUGCGUAGAUAUAUGGAGGAACACCGGUGGCGAAAGCGGCUCUCUGGCUUGUAACUGACGCUGAGGCUCGAAAGCGUGGGGAGUAAACAGGAUUAGAGACCCCCGUAGUCCCUGUCUCUUAUACA